ACUCCAUUUCUGUGUCUGCUUCCAGAGAACCCAACCUGUGCCAGUUGGUCCUGGGAGAAGCCUGAGAAAGGAGGCCCAUUGGAAUCCUGGAGGAGCAGUUUCUUGAACAAAACUGAAGGAGUGGAAGGGAACAGAGCCAUGUGUGGUUUAUCCGUGUUGUAUCUGUAGAUCAGAAUUUCCUUCCUUUUAAAUAAAGGCCGAAUAACUUUCCAUGGAACAUAUAUACCACAUUGUGUUGAUCUACUCAUUCACCGAUGGACAUUUGGGUGGCUUCCACCUUUUGGCUUUUGUGAAUGAUGCUGCGAUGAACAUGGGUGUCCAGAGGUCUGCUCCAGUCCCUGCUUUUACUUCUUUUGGAUGUAUAUCCAGAAGCGGAAUUACUGGAU